AGCGAACAUUGGCGGUAGGCUUAACACAUGCAAGUCGAGCGAGGCGUAAUAGUCGAGCGGCGAACGGGUGGGUAAUACAUGGAAAUCUACCCUGAAGUGGGGGAUAACGUCCAGAAAUGGACGCUAAUACCGCAUAAUCCAUAUUGGGAAAGCGUUGCAGCGCUUUAGGAUGAGUCCAUGGCUGAUUAGCUAGUUGGUGAGGUAAAGGCUCACCAAGGCGACGAUCAGUAGCUGGUCUGAGAGGAUGACCAGCCACGCUGGAACUGAGACACAGUCCAGACUCCUACGGGAGGCAGCAGUGGGGAAUCUUGCGCAAUGGGGGCAACCCUGACGCAGCCAUACCGCGUGAGUGAUGAAGGUCUUCGGAUUGUAAAGCUCUUUCGGCGGGGACGACGAUGACGGUACCCGCAAAAGAAGUCACGGCUAACUUCGUGCCAGCCGCCGCGGUAA
rnacentral:rRNA from 1 species